GUGAGGAGCUGGUAGUGGGAGGUGGGUAUACGGUGGGGGCGAGGGUUAAGCGGAAGUACUGGGAGGAAAGGGGGGGCAGGGGGGCGUGUAAGAGCGGUGGGAAAUCCCCGGGCUUAACCUGGGAAUUGCGCGGGGGACUGCAGGGCUAGAGUACGGUAGAGGGGGGUGGAAUUCCUGGUGUAGCAGUGAAAUGCGUAGAGAUCAGGAGGAACACCGAUGGCGAAGGCAGCCCCCUGGGCCUGUACUGACGCUCAUGCACGAAAGCGUGUGGAGCAAACAGGAUUAGAUACCCCAGUAGUC
rnacentral:rRNA from 1 species